GAUGAAGAACGCAGCGAAAUGCGAUAAGUAAUGUGAAUUGCAGAAUUCAGUGAAUCAUCGAAUCUUUGAACGCACAUUGCGCCCGCCAGUAUUCUGGCGGGCAUGCCUGUUCGAGCGUCAUUUCAACCAUCAAGCCCCCGGCUUGUGUUGGGGACCUGCGGCUGCCGCAGGCCCUGAAAAGCAGUGGCGGGCUCGCUGUCACACCGAGCGUAGUAGCAUACAUCUCGCUCUGGGCGUGCUGCGGGUUCCGGCCGUUAAACCACCUUCAUAACCCAAGGUUGACCUAGGAUCAGGUAGGAAGACCCGCUGAACUUAAGCAUAUCAAUAAGCGGAG
rnacentral:misc_RNA from 1 species